UGUGUGUUAGACUGAGAAGAAGGAUCGGUGGUAACGAGAAGCUGCUAAUCAGCAGGGUGUGUAGUAAUUAUGUCUGAAGGGGCGUUGCUGGUUGAUCAGGACGGGUAACUUCACGUCACACCCUGAGAAGCAGGGAAAAAGGGCUGGAGACUCGAGAACAAAAUACACUGUUGACACCUGCCACAAAUAUGCAUGACAACACGCCUGCAGCACACUUUACAUCGACACGCAAACACCUGCGCAUUGUAUGUGUGUCAGUCAAAUGAGAGGAUUUACUGUCGUUCAUCUUCAUAACCACAGACGCUUGAUUUCAGAACACUGCCGUCUGGAUUCACAUCUAUAACUCAACAUGAGCACACAGACCAAAUCCGACAGCGGCAAGAAGAGAGCCGUCCUGAAAGACAACAGCUGGAUCAGAAGAAACCCAGAGGAGGACGAGCUCGUCGAUUAUGAUCCUAACCCUGGUAAAGUUGUUCUGGGUCAGCGGAAAUCAGGGAAUGAUGUUGACAGCAAACCGCUGGAGGACAAUCACACACACACACACACACACACACACACUCACU